AUUGAACGCUGGCGGAACGCUUUACACAUGCAAGUCGAACGGCAGAGGGGGCAACCCCUCGAGAGUGGCGAACGGGUGAGUAAUAUAUCGGAACGUGCCCAGUCGUGGGGGAUAACGUAGCGAAAGUUACGCUAAUACCGCAUACGAUCUAAGGAUGAAAGCGGGGGAUCGCAAGACCUCGCGCGAUUGGAGCGGCCGAUAUCAGAUUAGGUAGUUGGUGGGGUAAAGGCUCACCAAGCCAACGAUCUGUAGCUGGUCUGAGAGGACGACCAGCCACACUGGAACUGAGACACGGUCCAGACUCCUACGGGAGGCAGCAGUGGGGAAUUUUGGACAAUAGACGCAAGUCUGAUCCAGCCAUUCCGCGUGCAGGAUGAAGGCCCUCGGGUUGUAAACUGCUUUUGUACGGAACGAAAAGGUCUCUCUUAAUACGGGGGGCUCAUGACGGUACCGUAAGAAUAAGCACCGGCUAACUACGUGCCAGCCGCCGCAGUAA
rnacentral:rRNA from 1 species